UCCGCAAGGCUGUCCUCCAGCAGCCUCAUGAUAGCCCGCCUCAACGGCCGUGCACCGUAGCUGGGGUUGUAGCCUUCAUCCACCACCCGCUCCUUGAACUUCUCAGUAACCUGCAGGUUGAUGUCCUUGGCCUUGAGUCGGUCGAAGACCUCCUGGAGCAUAAUAUCCGCGAUCUCCUUGACCUCGAGCUUGGUGAGCUGCCUGAAGACGAUCAUCUCAUCGAGACGGUUGAGGAACUCGGGGCGGAAGUACUGCUUCAUCUCCUCAAUGACGAGGCUCUUGAUCCUGCCAUAGCUGCUGUCCUUCU
rnacentral:lncRNA from 1 species